rnacentral:pre_miRNA from 1 species
CAUGCACUGGUGGUGUCCCUUGGCCUGGCCUGUGACCUCUUGCAAUCUGGGACCCCUCAGGGGAUGUCAGAGAGCCAGUUUCCGCCUGAUCCCUACAGGCCAGGCCGAGGGACCCCACCAGUGCAUA